GAUGAACGCUAGCUACAGGCUUAACACAUGCAAGUCGAGCGGUUUGUGCUUUUGCACAUUCAGCGGCAGACGGGUGAGUAACACGUAUCUAACCUUCCCCUUACUUGGGCAUAGCCUCUGGAAACGGAGAUUAAUUUCCGAUGUGGUGUACAUUUCGCAUGUUUUGCGCACCAAGGAUUUAUCGGUAAGGGAUGGGGAUGCGCUCCAUUAGGUAGUAGGUAGGGUAACGGCCCACCAGGGCAACGAUGGCUAGGGGGUCUGAGAGGAUGGUCCCCCACACUGGUACUGAGACACGGACCAGACUCCUACGGGAGGCAGCAGUGAGGAAUAUUGGUCAAUGGGCGGAAGCCUGAACCAGCCAUGCCGCGUGCAGGAAGACGGCCCUCUGGGUUGUAAACUGCUUUUGAUAGGGAACAAAUGCCACUUGCGAGUGGAGCUGAGUGUACCUAUAGAAUAAGCACCGGCUAACUCCGUGCCAGCAGCCGCGGUAAUCA
rnacentral:rRNA from 1 species